rnacentral:lncRNA from 1 species
UGGCAGCUCCUUCCCUGAACCUGCGGCAGGUGUUCAGGCUGAUCUGACCCCGUCAUACGCACAGAAGAUGAAGGAAGUAAGGGACCGAGGCUCCAUAAGACGAAUCAGGAAACAGGAACCCUCAACACCAGAGCUAGUCCUGCCAAGCCCACUUCAAGGAAAAGGGCUGCAUCAUGUUAGCCCCAUUUUGGGGAAUGGUGGGAAUGUCUUCUUUCUUUUUUUCUUUCUUUCUUCUUCUUUUUUUUUUUUUCUCUAGGUUUCCGCCUGUGGUUACCUUGCUAGGCUUCUCAGGCCCUUUGUGUCCCUCUGUCAGCUACAUCUCAGCCCUUCCUGGCUCGGUUCCUCAGCACAUCUGCUGUGGGCUCAGGGCCCAGGCAUUGUCCAUUAGCGGCUCCAUACAGAGAGGCCUCCGCAGUGGCUGCACAGCUGGAGAGAGACCAUACCCAUGUAUACACAGGCUCCCUGCCUGUCCCCCUCUACCCUGAGUGUUAGAAACUCAGGUUUCCUGUGAAAUCAUUGCCUUUGUAAACCAGGAACCAUGCAUGCAGCCGAGUUCCACAAG